rnacentral:rRNA from 1 species
CCCUUAGAUGUCCGGGGCUGCACGCGCGCUACACUGAGGGAAUCAGCGUGCUAAAACCAUUGUCGAAAGGCAUUGGUAAACCCAUUAAAAUCCUACGUGAUUGGGAUCGGGAAUUGCAAUUAUUUCCCUUGAACGAGGAAUUCCCAGUAAGUGUGGGUCAUAAGCUCGCGUUGAUUACGUCCCUGCCCUUUGUACACACCGCCCGUCGCUGCCCGGGACUGAGCCGUUUCGAGAAAAGCGGGGACUGCUGCUGUCGGGGCUUUCGGGCCUUGGCUUCGGUGGAAACCGCUUUAAUCGCAGUGGCUUGAACCGGGCAAAAGUCGUANCA